UACGGAGGGUGCGAGCGUUUAUCCGGAUUCACUGGGUUUAAAGGGUGCGUAGGUGGGCAGGUAAGUCAGUGGUGAAAUCUCCGGGCUUAACUCGGAAACUGCCAUUGAUACUAUCUGUCUUGAAUACCGUGGAGGUCAGCGGAAUAUGUCAUGUAGCGGUGAAAUGCUUAGAUAUGACAUAGAACACCAAUUGCGAAGGCAGCUGGCUACACGAAUAUUGACACUGAUGCACGAAAGCGUGGGGAUCAAACAGG
rnacentral:rRNA from 1 species